rnacentral:rRNA from 1 species
UAGCCGUAAACGAUACUCGCUAGGUGUCGGCCACGGUGCGACCGUUGUCGGUGCCGUAGGGAAGCCGUGAAGCGAGCCACCUGGGAAGUACGGCCGCAAGGCUGAACUUAAAGGAAUUGGCGGGGGAGGCGACAACAACGGGUGGAGCUUGCGGUUAAUUUGGAGUUCAACGCCGGAAAUCUUACCGGGACCGGACAGCAACAUGAAGGCCAAGCUGAAGACUUUGCCGGAUUAGCUGAGAGGUGGUGCAUGGCGUAGUCGUGU